rnacentral:lncRNA from 1 species
GGACUCCCGCUGCAGACAGGGACCAGAGCAUCGAAUUUGAAAUAAGAACAAUCUGAAAAUGCCGAAAGGCGAAGUGACAGCUUAGAUUCAGCUGCUUCAGAAAGCCUGUUUACAAGUCAGGAAAAGCGAAGUGUGUAUUUUGUCCCAACUAGCUGAGCGCAGAGAGAAAUGAGGCUUAAGGGACUCUCGUGCAAUAUUGACUUUAUUUUUUCAGUGAGUUUGCCUUAUCCUGGAGCUCUGUGUGAGUCAUUGUGAACUAAUAUUCCGGUUUGAGUGGUAAUCAUCACAUCGUUUCAAAGCAUGGGUAUGAUAAACUACAUCAUACAGACUUCAUUAAAAAAAAAAAAAUGCAUGUAUUUUGAAAAUCCUUUCCACACCAACUCUGCCUGUCAGGCUCAUAAAACUUUUCCAUGAAACUUCUCCAAGCAGAACUG